rnacentral:rRNA from 1 species
AAUGAACGUUGGCGGCGUGGAUUAGGCAUGCAAGUCGCGCGACAAGGAACCUUCGGGUCCUGGAGGAGCGGCAAACGGGGUAGUAAGGCAUCGGAACGUACCCUCUUGUUGGGAAUAGCCGCGGGAAACUGCGAGUAAUGCCCAAUAAUCCCGUACGGGGCAAAGGUCCGCCGCAGGAGGAGCGGCCGAUGUGAUACCAGCUAGUUGGUGAGGUAAUGGCUCACCAAGGCUUAGACGUCUAGGGGGUNUGAGAGCAUGGCCCCCACACUGGGACUGAGAUACUCGCCCAGACACCUACGGGUGGCUGCAGUCGAGAAUCUUCGG